rnacentral:rRNA from 1 species
AACGAACGCUGGCGGCGUGCUUAACACAUGCAAGUCGAACGCGAAAGGGACUUCGGUCCUGAGUAAAGUGGCGCACGGGUGAGUAACGCGUGGAUAAUCUACCCAAUGAUCUGGGAUAACAUCUCGAAAGGGGUGCUAAUACCGGAUAAGACCACGGGAUCUCUGGAUUCUGCGGUAAAAGGUGGGGACCUUCGGGCCUACCGUCAUCGGAUGAGUCCGCGUACCAUUAGCUAGUUGGUGGGGUAAUGGCCUACCAAGGCUACGAUGGUUAGCUGGUCUGAGAGGGUGAACGGCCACACUGGGACUGAGAUACGGCCCAGACUCCUACGGGAAGCAG